UACGUAGGGGGCAAGCGUUGUCCGGAUUUAUUGGGCGUAAAGAGCGUGUAGGCGGCUUGGUAGGUCUUGCGUCAAAACCUGAGGCUCAACCUCAGUUCGCGUGGGAAACCACCUAGCUAGAGUCCGGAAGAGGAGAACGGAAUUCCCAGUGUAGCGGUGAAAUGCGCAGAUAUCAGGAGGAACACCGGUGGCGAAGGCGCUCUGCUAGGCCGUAACUGACACUGAGGGACGAAAGCUAGGGGAGCGAAUGGG
rnacentral:rRNA from 1 species